UCUAACUUUUCGUUUUUUUUGAGCAUGAAGAAGAUGAUUUUGUAUUGAACAUAUACGAAUCAUGCAUCAGUGAUGGUGUUGUCGGAGGAUUUUAAAUAAUUUUAUAGUCAGCUGUGAAUGCAGAAAAAAGUUUCAGUCGGUUUAAAGCAUUUACCAGCGCUUCAAAGCGUGUCAAUCGUGUAAAAUUAAGAUAAUUUGAAAUAAUGUUCGAAUAUGGUCGGCUAAGAGAUCGAUGCGCAGUGGCAAUAUUAUGCAGCUUGCAAGUGAUAGUUUCCAUAAUGUUAAUUUGGCCCGCAAUCCAACUUACUGUUCAUGGAUCUUUUGGUUUGCACACAUACUGUUGGAUUCUCCAAGUAUCAUUAGGCGUAUCUGGUUUGUUUGGCUUAUUCAGUCUUUGUAUGGAAAAUAGCAUCGUAAUGAAAAUUUCUCAAUUCGUACUUAUCAUUGUCAUUGUACUGCUGGUGAUUCUAACGUUCUUUAUGGUAUUUGUAGCAUUAUUUUUAGCACAUAAACAGCCUGUACUGCUGGCAUGGAUUGCUUUCAUUGUUUUUAGCAUCGUUGCACACAUCUAUGCAACAGUUUCAGCAUCCGAAUUGGUAAGAGCAUAUGGAAAAGGACCAAUUCAACCAGUUCCACUGACGGAAAUUUAAUUAUUUAAUUUAAAAAAAAAAUUCAAAGUUUUUCCAGUGCAAAAGAAGUACGUAAAGUGAGUAAAGUUCGGUCCGGUGAACUUACACGAUUGUUUUCCAAAAACUCCGAUGGCACACAAUGUAUCAGAAACGCCUUAGAGAAAGUGAGACGCAAUUUCCUAGUAUAUUACUUUUAAAGCCAUUGAUAUCGCUUUCCACAAGAAAACAAUUUUAAAUAUUCAAAGUUUGUUUAAAUAUCGGAAGCGACAAGAGAAUGUAUCAAAAUAUUUAUUUCCACAAAAUAUUUCGGCCUGUUAUACAUCCGCAUUAAAAUCUGUUAUACAUUAAAAAAAAACUGAUAAAUUUGUCAGAUA